AGCGAACGCUAGCGGCGGGCCUAACACAUGCAAGUCGAGCGGAGGGGCAACCCUCAGCGGCGAACGGGUGAGUAACACGUAGGUAAUGUACCCUCUGGUGGGAAUAACCGUGGGAAACCAUGGCUAAUACCGCAUAUGUCUUUCGAGAUGAAAGCAGCAAUGCGCCAGAGGAGCAGCCUGCGGCCGAUUAUUUAGUCCUAGUUGGUGAGGUAAUGGCUCACCAAGGGUACGAUCGGUAGCUGGUCUGAGAGGAUGAUCAGCCACACUGGAACUGAGACACGGUCCAGACUCCUACGGGAGGCAGCAGUGGGGAAUAUUGCGCAAUGGGCGAAAGCCUGACGCAGCCACGCCGCGUGAGUGAUGAAGGCCUUCGGUUGUAAG
rnacentral:rRNA from 1 species